UCGAAAUCACCAAAACCUUUCUCAAUAUCUUCCGCUCUUUUUUACUCUCGUUGUGCACUUCGCUAGAGCACCAACCAUAUACCGACGCUCAACCCAUCUCGCUGCUGUCCUCUUUCAUCUUCUCACCAUUAAAUGUGUGCUUCUUCUUGACUAAUCCUGACACUGUUGGCGUUUGAUGCUGCUGCACAUCGUUGGCUUCCCUUGCAAUUCGACGGUGGCCGAAAGUGCCGCCACGCUUCCCCUCUUGUUUUCUUAACUUGUUUAGGGUUGAAUUGAAUUGGGUUUAAGAGGUUUAAGGUAUAUGUCUAGAACUCCCUGAGACCCACUAACAGAGGAGCUCAACUGGAUUAUUUGAUGAUGGAAAUAAUGGCGGAUUAGAGUAGCAAACAUGCAUGAUACAUCGAGAAGCAUGCCUACAUGGAUAAUGGAAUUGAAGAAUAAUGAAAGAAUGACCUUAAGAUUGAUUUAGGUUUAUUUAAGCAGAGAUAUAUAUAUAUUAUGAUUUUAUGAUUUAAUUUUUAGAUUAACUAUUUAUAUUUUGGAUGCAAUAGUAUGUUUUCGAUUGAGUAUA